rnacentral:rRNA from 1 species
UACAGAGGUCCCGAGCGUUGUUCGGAUUCACUGGGCGUAAAGGGCUCGUAGGCGGCCAACUAAGUCAGACGUGAAAUCCCUCGGCUUAACCGGGGAACUGCAUCUGAUACUGGAUGGCUCGAGUUUGGGAGAGGGAUGCGGAAUUCCAGGUGUAGCGGUGAAAUGCGUAGAUAUCUGGAGGAACACCGGUGGCGAAGGCGGCAUCCUGGACCAACACUGACACUGGAGGAGCGAAAGCCAGGGGAGCAAACGGG